rnacentral:rRNA from 1 species
GACGAACGCUGGCGGCGUGCCUAAUACAUGCAAGUCGAACGCAUUUUCUUUCACCGUAGCUUGCUACACCGAAAGAAAAUGAGUGGCGAACGGGUGAGUAACACGUGGGUAACCUGCCCAUCAGCGGGGGAUAACACUUGGAAACAGGUGCUAAUACCGCAUAAUUCCAUUUACCGCAUGGUAGAUGGGUGAAAGGCGCUUUUGCGUCACUGAUGGAUGGACCCGCGGUGCAUUAGCUAGUUGGUGGGGUAACGGCCUACCAAGGCUGCGAUGCAUAGCCGACCUGGGAGGGUGAGCGGCCACACUGGGACUGAGACACGGCCCAGACUCCUACGGGAGGCAGCAGUAGGGAAUCUUCGGCAAUGGACGCAAGUCUGACCGAGCAACGCCGCGUGAGUGAAGAAGGUUUUCGGAUCGUAAAACUCUGUUGUUAGAGAAGAACAAGGAUGAGAGUGGAAAGUUCAUCCCUUGACGGUAUCUAACCAGAAAGCCACGGCUAACUACGUG